AGCUUAUUGGGGGUAUGAUGAGUGUGGCCUGCUCGGUGUAAUUAUUAUAAACAGCCGCGGUAUUUUGACUGGCCAAGGUAGCAUAAUCAUUAGCUUUUUAAUUGGGGGCUGGAAUGAAUGGUUUUACGGGGAUUUACUUUUAUUUGGGUGGUUUUUUAAUUUUAAUUUAUUGUGAGGAUGCGAUAAUAUUUUUAUGUGACGAGAAGACCCCGUAAAGCUUGACUGAUGUUGUUGGUUUUGGUUGAUUAUUUUUGUUUUGUUGGGGCAACGGAUGUGAUUUUUAAUGGUUGUGUUUAAAGUUGAAUUUUUUUUUAGCCUUUGUUAUUUAGUUUGAUCCGCUGUUUAUUUGGUGAUAUUUAGAUAAGUUACUUUGGGGAUAA
rnacentral:rRNA from 1 species